UACGAAGGGGGCGAGCGUUGUUCGGAGUUACUGGGCGUAAAGAGUCUGUAGGCGGUGCUCUAAGUUUGGUGUGAAAUCUCCCGGCUUAACCGGGAGGGUGCGCCGAAGAACUGGGUGCUGGAGUCUGGGAGAGGAAAGCGGAAUUCCUGGUGUAGCGGUGGAAAUGACGUAGAUAUCAGGAGGAACACCGGUGGUGUAGACGGCUUUCUGGACCAGUACUGACGCUGAGAGACGAAAGCGUGGGGAGCAAACAGG
rnacentral:rRNA from 1 species